rnacentral:rRNA from 1 species
AUCCUACGGGAGGCAGCAGUGGGGGAUAUUGCACAAUGGGGGAAACCCUGAUGCAGCGACGCCGCGUGGGCGAAGAAGUAUUUCGGUAUGUAAAGCCCUAUCAGCAGGGAAGAAGAAAUGACGGUACCUGAGUAGGAAGCUCCGGCUAACUACGUGCCAGCAGCCGCGGUAAUACGUAGGGAGCGAGCGUUGUCCGGAUUUACUGGGUGUAAAGGGUGCGUAGGCGGCCCUGCAAGUCAGAAGUGAAAUCCAUGGGCUUAACCCGUGAACUGCUUUUGAAACUGCAGGACUUGAGUG